rnacentral:tRNA from 2 species
GGGGCUGUAGCUCAGCUGGGAGAGCGCUUGACUGGCAGUCAAGAGGUCGACGGUUCGAUCCCGUUCAGCUCCA